UACAGAGGUGGCAAGCGUUGUUCGGAAUUACUGGGCGUAAAGGGCGCGUAGGCGGCCUUCUAAGUCAGACGUGAAAUCCCCCGGCUUAACCUGGGAACUGCGUCUGAUACUGGGAGGCUUGAGUAUAGGAGAGGGAUGUAGAAUUCCAGGUGUAGCGGUGAAAUGCGUAGAUAUCUGGAGGAAUACCGGUGGCGAAGGCGGCAUCCUGGACCAUAACUGACGCUGAGGCGCGAAAGCUAGGGGAGCAAACGGG
rnacentral:rRNA from 1 species